GGCACUUCUUGGGUGAUGUACCUCGGAAUUGGGCUCCCUCCUCUCUGGUUCUGGGUACGUCACCCAAGAACCUCA
rfam:Myotis davidii contig130697, whole genome shotgun sequence.